GAUUGAACGCUGGCGGAAUGCUUUACACAUGCAAGUCGAACGGCAGCACGGGGGCGAACCCUCGGUGGCGAGUGGCGAACGGGUGAGUAAUACAUCGGAACGUGCCCAGUCGUGGGGGAGUAACUAACGCGAAAGCGUAGCUAAUACCGCAUACGAUCUACGGAUGAAAGCGGGGGAGUCGCAAGACCUCGCGCGAUUGGAGCGGCCGAUGGCAGAUUAGGUUGUUGGUGAGGUAAAGGCUCACCAAGCCGACCGAUCUGUAGCUGGUCUGAGAGGACGACCAGCCACACUGGGACUGAGACACGGCCCA
rnacentral:rRNA from 1 species